UGACCUCGGAUCAGGGGUGGGUACCCGCUGAACUUAAGCAUAUCAAUAAGCGGAGGAGAAGAAACCAACCAGGAUUCCCUCAGUAACGGCGAGUGAAGAGGGAGAAGCCCAGUGCCGAAGCCUGCGGCAGGUUUGUCGGUAGGCCAUGUGGUGUGCGGGUUGGCUGGCGGGACCGCCGCUCCACUCCAAGUCCAGCAUUGAGUAUGGUUGUGAGUGAAUGUGGCCCAUAGAGGGUGAUAGGCCCGUAGGAGUGGGGGCUCAGGCAGGUGAGGCGGUUCACCAGGCCGGCUCAGGAGUCGGGUUGUUUGAGAUUGCAGCCCAAAGUGGGUGGUAAACUCCAUCCAAGGCUAAAUACAGGCACGAGUCCGAUAGCGGACAAGUACCGUGAGGGAAAGUUGAAAAGUACUCUGAAGAGAGAGUAAAGAGUGCGUGAAACCGCGUGCAGGUAAGCGGGUGGCGUCAAGCUGCUAGCCGGGAGGACUCAGCUGGCUGCAGUGUAGUGUGCGCGCCUAGUGCGUCACCGUUAAUGGGCCGGGGAGAGGCGGUGGUCUGCUCCUUGUGGGGGAGCGGAGCAUGACUGCGAUCGCGGGCCACUGUUUCGCCUUCACCACGCCGCCGCCUAUUCUAUCUGUCUGUCUGCCCAUCUAUCUAUCUGUCCGCCUGUGUGCGCCCAUCUCUGCUGAGGUGGGUGGGCUGGUGGAUGGGUGGGUGGGUGCGUGCGUGAAUAUGCGGAGGGCGGGGUGGUGUGAGUGGUCGGUGGAUGCGAGGUUGUGGUCUGUGCUAUGCGUGUCGGACGGGCGCCGGAGCAUGCCACUCGCCCGUGGGCCUUGCAGUCAGUGCACUUUCUCCGUGGCGAACACCACGACCGGUGGGGUUGCCAGUCUGCCGUGGUCGAGUCGUGCCCACCUGGUAGUCCUUUCCUCCUCCUCCUGCUCCUGCUCCCCGUCGCUCGAUUGGUCGGUGAGUUGGCUUCACCGCUGACUGGCUGGCUGGCCGGCCGGCCGGCUGACGGACAGGUGGGUGGGGUGGAUGGGUCAGGUGGGCAGGAUCGCGGAUAGGUGAGCGGACGGCGCGGUGGUGCUGCGGUGUUGCCGCGUGCUAUCGUGCGCUUCCUGUCAACGAGCUGCUGUUGUCUGCUGUGCUGUGACCGCACUGUUGGUGGCUUGGCGGGCUGCGGUGGUGUAGGUGACUGUGCAGGGCAUCGGUUUUAUCCGCCUCAUUCGCUCGCUCGUUCGUUCGUCUCCUCGAAUGCACGAGCGGUAAGGGUACCCGGCACGCACGUCACAGGUGCAGUGGAGCGGGGCGCGCGGCUGUUGGUCGGCGUGGGGCGUGGCUGCCGUGUUGCCUGCAGAAUGCGGGCUCGCCGGUGGUCCGUCGUCGCGUGUCACGGUGGGCGGCUUCGCGUUGCCUCGAGUGCAUGGGGUACCGGGGGUGGGAUAGUCGGUGGUGCGGUGGUAGACUAGCCACCUGACCCGUCUUGAAACACGGACCAGGGAGUUUAACAUGUGUGCGAGUCAAAGGGUGUGCUCGAGACCCCGAGGCGUAGUGAAAGUGAAGUCUGCGUCGUACGCGCGCGGUGCGAUGCGGCGAGGUGAGAUCCUGCUGUUGGCGUGCGGCCGGCCAGGCCAGGCUGGUGCGGGCGGCCUAUGGAGCAGUGGGCGCAUCACCGGCCCGUCCCAUGGUGUGGUCACUGGUGUGCGUUGGCGUGGUCGCGUGUGUCUGUGGCUGCGUCAGCUGGGCAGCCAGUGCGUCAUCGGGGCGGAGCGUGAGCAUGCAUGUUGAGACCCGAAAGAUGGUGAACUAUGCUUGCGUAGGUUGAAGCCAGAGGAAACUCUGGUGGAGGACCGUAGCGAUUCUGACGUGCAAAUCGAUCGUCAAACGUGAGUAUAGGGGCGAAAGACUAAUCGAACCGUCUAGUAGCUGGUUCCCUCCGAAGUUUCCCUCAGGAUAGCUGGCACUCAUUAGCAAAAUCAGUUUUAUCCGGUAAAGCGAAUGACUAGAGGUGCUGGGCUCGAAACGAGCUCAACCUAUUCUCAAACUUUCAAUGGGUGAGAUGUCCAACUCGCUUCAGACGCGUGCAUUGCAGCGGGUGGAGUUGGGCGUUGAAUGUGCGGGUGCCAAGUGGGCCAUUUUUGGUAAGCAGAACUGGCGCUGUGGGAUGAACCAAACGCCCGGUUAAGGUGCCUAACGCUGACGCUCAUGAGAUACCACAAAAGGUGUUGGUUAAUAUAGACAGCAGGACGGUGGCCAUGGAAGUCGGCAUCCGCUAAGGAGUGUGUAACAACUCACCUGCCGAAUUGACCAGCCCUGAAAAUGGAUGGCGCUGGAGCGUCGGACCUACACCGGGCCGUCAUCGCAAGCUGGAUUGGUGGCUGUGCGCGUUUGCGUCAUGGUCCAGGCGUGGAGUGCGAUGCUGAGUAGGAGGGUCGCCGUGGUGAGCGUGGAAGCCGCAGACGUGAGUCGUGGUGGAGCCGCCACGGGUGCAGAUCUUGGUGGUAGU
rnacentral:rRNA from 1 species